UGGGGUGUGGUGUAAUUGGUAACACGACGGACUCUGACUCCGUUAUUCUAGGUUCAAGUCCUAGCACCCCAGCCA
rnacentral:tRNA from 2 species